AAACACUUUUGUUAUGAUUAAGGACAUUGUGAACGGAUUAUUUGAUUAAUACUCGUUAAUUUGUGAAGUAAUCAUCUUACUAUUGUCUUUGUACUGACUUCCCAUUAGUUUUAUUAUCUAUCUGCAUUCUGUAGGUCUGUAGUAUAAUUGUGCAGGAAAACAUGAUAUAUCAGUGUAGUUCUGUAGUAUAAUUGUGCAGGAAAACAUGAUAUAUCAGUGUUUUCUAUGUUGUGUUUUGUAUAUUGUUGUUUGUCUUUUGGUCGUUUUUGUUUUGUCUAUGUUAUGAAGUUGUUGUUGGUUUUCAACUGAUGAGUGUGAUUGUCCCUGUUGUAUCUUUUCGUUUUCUUUUAUUGCAAACUACAAUUUUGAUUGAAUCUUAUUUAACUUUUCG
rnacentral:lncRNA from 1 species